rnacentral:rRNA from 1 species
UACAGAGGUCCCGAGCGUUGUUCGGAUUCACUGGGCGUAAAGGGUGCGUAGGUGGCGAGGUAAGUUUGAUGUGAAAUCUCCGGGCUUAACCCGGAAAAUGCAUUGAAUACUAUUUUGCUGGAGGGUUGGAGGGGGGACUGGAAUUCUCGGUGUAGCAGUGAAAUGCGUAGAUAUCAAGUGGAACACCAGUGGCGAAGGCGAGUCCCUGGACAACUCCUGACACUGAGGCACGAAAGCUAGGGGAGCAAACAGG